rnacentral:rRNA from 1 species
GACAGAGGGUGCAAACGUUGCUCGGGAAUUACUGGGCGUAAAGCGCGUGUAGGUGGAUUGGUGUGUCAGAUGUGAAAUCCCUGGGCUCAACCCAGGAACUGCACCUGAAACUACCAGUCUUGAGUGGUGGAGAGGGAAGUGGAAUUCCUGGUGUAGAGGUGAAAUUCGUAGAUAUCAGGAGGAACACCGAGGUGGCGAAGGCGGCUUCCUGGACACCAACUGACGCUGAGACGCGAAAGCGUGGGAGCGAACAGG